CUUGACUCCAGCAACUCUGGCUUCAGUAGAAUUCUGCACCAACAGAAUUGGCGCUAGAGGAAGGGAUGCUGUGUCUUCGCAGUACCCUUAUUCUUGAAGGAGUGCUCAAUGGGACUGUCUCCGAUCAUCUUCUCUGACAUCCUUUUCCUACUGGAUCUCCACCUGAUGCCUCCCCGAAUGGAAUCCACCAAGCAAUCCAUGGCCUUCGCAGCC
rnacentral:lncRNA from 1 species